rnacentral:lncRNA from 1 species
GCCGCCACGCCACAUCCCAGCGAUCCUGCACGCGUCCUCCUCUCCUCUCCCGUGGCCGUGGCCCGUGGGAAUACCUCAGCGGCCACAAACAGCGGUCGCCGCAUCUCACGAGGGAGAAGCUCCCUGAUGGGUGAUGGCGCCAUCGAUCGGAAUCGGAAGGGGGGACGGACGAUGGUUGUGCCGCGCGGGCGAUCGAUCGAGGUGGACGCAGCCGAGGAGAUGAGACGGCCGAUCGAUCGACGUGGACGCAGCCGAGAACGAUGGAUGAGAUGAGACUCGUUCUAAUUCCCUACCAGGUUUGGAUCUUGCUGCCCUUCCUCUUCUAUCAUGGUGUUUAUGGUUGGAGUUUUCGUCGAUUUUUUGGAAAAUUUGGUUGGGAUCCCCCUGUUUUUUCCGGCCGGGGAAGGUUGCUGACAGCCAAACCUCACAGUGCACCAGUACAAAAACAGAAUAAAACCAGACCAAAUCCAUGUUUUUGGUUCCUACUCGUAGCAUUUGUUUACAGAAUCCGGCCGGCUGCCAAAUCAUCCGUUUGGUCUCAGCUAGGCUGGCGCGGUAUUCAGCCAAAUCUUUCUUUUGGUCUCAUACGCACACGCACACUUCCAGCGCUCCCAUCCAGAAAAUUACACUUCCAGCGCUCCUAUCCAAAAAAUUACACUUCCAGCGCAGUUUUUCAUCUUACAAAAAGAUCAGGUGUUUUGCACCGCCAAAUCUUUCUUUCGUUUGGUUUCUUACGCGCAGUUUACGAACCAGUGUUUUGCACCGUCAAAAAAUAUCCAGUGCUCUCGUCAGUUCCAUGCUACUGAAUUCCCAAAAACAUUGCUUCCAGCCUCCUCCUUGCUUGCAACCUCCUCCUUGGCCUGCCUCCACCACCGCCAGUCUCUUUGCUUCCUGCAAAAUAUGUCAAACCAAUGCAUGUAAAGUAGAUCGUCCGAGAAAUUCAUCUAGAGUAUUUAUAACCAUAUACAAAUCAAACAAGCUUUAUGAUUGAUUGAUUUAUUUAAAAUUUUGGAACGAAGGACACCCCAGAUUGGGUUAAACAAAAGGUUGUGGCCUCACUGGACUUUGCAAAGCCUAGACCGAGCCGUGUCAAGUGCAUCAUAAUCUCCUAUUACUAGCUAGUUAGCUGGGCAGAGUUUACAGCAGCUGGCACAACUAGCUCACUUGACCAAAAGGUGCCCUGCUCACAAGUCACAGCAUGAUGCCUGGUUGUCCGCCUGAUUCUACUCUCUGGCCAUACCACCACUGCUUCAAAUGCCAAGAGCAUUUAUUCAGAAUGUACUAGGUCAGGACAUUUGACAUGGAGACACUGAACUCUGUGGCCUUUACUAAUGUUUUGUCCCCACUCAGAGUCUGGUCACAUCCUGUUAGGCAGAACCAGAGGCCAUGCAGCAACAAGUUUCCAUUGUCUGCAUUGCAUGGUAUGGCCAUGGACCUAUAUAUGGUCAGACUACACAAGACUAAAAAAUAGCAAUUUCUGCUGUGAACAGCAACUGAGCAUGCACCUAUGGGGAGACUGUAAGAAGCCAAUAUUUGACCCAACAAACCAGCUCUACUCUGGCCUUCAGAAACCACAUGUAUGAGCUAAGUAGCACCCAAUACAAGACCAUGUAAGCAUGCGUAGCAGCACAAUGAAAAAUAAAAACAUGCAUGACCAGAGAAAGGAGUUUAAAUCUAAACAGGAAAGACAACAUACAUGGUAGUCCCACGGCGUUGUAGAUCAACGUCCAUACAUCAGGGCACCACUGCUCGAGCUUGCGCAAAACAUCAUUUCGGCUACCCCCAAGGUGCGUCUGCAGUUAACCAAACGAUUAAUCAAUUCUAACACCUUGUUUGGCAUGCAAGCUAGAUGAAGAAUUAAUUACCUUAAUGUAUUGAGGGUAUGAGAAAUAGUGCUUCCAUAGGUUCCUCGCGAGCCUGACAAGGUCCUUAGGAUACUCAAUGAAAUAGUUCCACUUCAAAUCCCUCAUCUUUUUGGCCGCUGCUAUACCCUCGGGUCCUUGAGUUCUCAGCUCCUCCUUCUCUCGGUUUGCUCUUUCCAUCAUUGCUUUUAGCGUUUUGAGCUCCUGACACAUAUCUUCUCCAGACUCAUUUCUCGGCCACCUUAUUCCACAUUGAUUGAUGAGCUUACCAAUAUCUCGAGUAGAUGAGAAUAUGCCAAUGAGAUAUUUGCUCUUAUCUUCAUCAUUCCAAUCAAUUGGAUAAAACUUGGCAAGUCUUGGCAAAUUGUUGCCAAUGUAGACAGGACCAUGUUUUUCAAUAAAAUCACAGUAUGCCCUGGUCCCUAUGUGCAUUGGUGUAGAAACAUCGGUUGUCAUUAUUUUCUUUAAGUCCGCACAUAGUUUCACAUACAGUAUUCCCAGAUGCAUUCGAUCCUUGCCAAUCAAAUCCUCAACUGCGAAUUAGGGGAGUUUGUGAAUCGGACAGAAGUGGGAAGGAGCGAUAAAUUAAAGUAGACUAAUACAAGUUAAUAUUAAGAAACACUCGUAAGUGAAUAAUUUUGUAUGCCACCUAUAAAAAAAAUGUAAAGGUCGCAUACGGUAAUAUUUAAGUUUUAAAUUUUGCAUGCACAUACUAGUAUUCAUCCUCUACAUGCAAGAUUAUUUUUGUAUAUUUUUGUAACUUAAAUAUGUCUUCUUUUUUUCAAAAUUAUCAUAUUAGAUUCAGAUGGACCUACAUCAGAUGUGCAUUUUCCGUGUCAGCAAAUAUACAAAAUUAUAUCUAAAUAUGUUUAUAAAUAACCUCCACACAAGAAAAAACUUUGCACAACAUGACUAUAGUUUUCACUUGUAGAAUAAAAUUCUAAUAUCUUUGUAUAGAUUUUAGAGAGAGACACACUAGUCUUGAGAACAGUGCAAAAAGGAAAUUACCAUCGUCGAAGAAAACUUUGAGUUGAGGCUGACCAUUCACAGUCUUCAGAUACAGGUUGUCAAUUGUGAGCUGUUUUGGGCAGAUCUUGCGCUUAACCAUCUUGUCCAAGAUAUCACAUAGAUCUCUGUGAAACAUUAUCUCAGUAUGUUAGCGUGCAGUGGAAUUAAAGGAUUAGUACAAACUAGCCGAGCAGGUGCGGUACCCUGAAAUUCUUUCUUGCAUGCAUUGUCUAAAUGAGUCUGUAAUUGGUUCUAUUUUUUCCUCAAAAACAAUAAACUCAAAUUUUGGGAAAAUAACAUAUAUUCCAAAAUAUAGGAUCAACUAAUCAGUAGAUCGUGAUAUAUAUGUCUAUUACAUAGGUUGGAUAAUAAUUACGAUAAUUAUCAAUGAUUUAAGGCAUAAUAAACGGUGAGAGUGAACGGACCACCACCAAUUCAUAACCUAUAAGGGUAAAAGCUAUACAGUCAACUAAUCAAAAGAUUGUGAUUAUAUAAAAAAUUAAGGGGGUCCAUUCUACCACCACCACUUUAAGAAUCGUAGAUUAACUNNNNNNNNNNNNNNNNNNNNNNNNNNNNNNNNNNNNNNNNNNNNNNNNNNNNNNNNNNNNNNNNNNNNNNNNNNNNNNNNNNNNNNNNNNNNNNNNNNNNNNNNNNNNNNNNNNNNNNNNNNNNNNNNNNNNNNNNNNNNNNNNNNNNNNNNNNNNNNNNNNNNNNNNNNNNNNNNNNNNNNNNNNNNNNNNNNNNNNNNNNNNNNNNNNNNNNNNNNNNNNNNNNNNNNNNNNNNNNNNNNNNNNNNNNNNNNNNNNNNNNNNNNNNNNNNNNNNNNNNNNNNNNNNNNNNNNNNNNNNNNNNNNCUAUGUUCAUUUUCAGUGAACUGCGGUCACCCGAUGCAAUUGAAUAUUCACCUCACGUAGUUCACCUAUUCUGUAAGGGGCAGUUCACAUGUUCAUUGGGGGUCGACCAAAAAUAGCACUCAAAUCGAACCAAAAACUUGAAUGAAGUGUAAUAUAUUAAUAAGUUGCAUCUAGUCAAUACCUUUCCAACAAUAUGUCAUUUGCAUCAUUUCGUCAAGCGGUUUUAAAAUUUUGAUCAAAAUCUGCUCUUUGCAUUCGAUAUGGUCUGACCAUUUUUAAUACUGCUCUUGAACCCUAACGGAUUUGAAAAAACAUUCUACAUGAAAAAGUUGCACUCAAUUGAUAUAUUUCCAUCCAAUGGUAUACUGUAUAUCACUUGCGUCUUUUCUCAAAAAUUGGUUCGAUAUUUUCAUGCAAAAACAAUACAGAAACAGAGUACUUAUUGUAGAAUAACAUACAAGCAGUUGUAUAAUAGAUGGAACGGUUUGUCGGAAUGACACAAACAAUAUACAAUUGGAAAGAAAUCGAUUAGGCGCAAUGUUUUUAUGCUGGUUUGGUGAGUUUCUAGUUGUAGAGUAUGUCCAAAGAAUGGUUGUAGAAUAUACCCAUGACAUCUAUAUAUAAUAGUUACGGUAACGAUUCUUAGUAAUUUAAGACAUAAAUACCCACUAUAUAUAGCAGUAUAUAUGUUUUAUAUAAUAAAACGACAAUUCUUGGUAAUUUCAAAACAUAGUAACGAUCGGAGUGAAUGGACCGUCGCGAACUCAGAUCCUAUUAUAAGAAGAUAAGGUCAAGUUUUAACAUAAAGAAUACUUACAAGGUGAUUCUGCUGAAAAAGGGGGUGAAUUUGCCAUCCAUGUUUAAAAUCCUGUUGUCUUCACCGUGCUUGAGCCAUCCAUUUAAGGUACCAUCAAAAGAGCUGGCGGAUACUACAAGACGAUAAUACGGACCCGCCUUGUAGAUGUUUUGCAACACCACUACAUUUGGAUGUCUCCAGGUUUUCAUCAGCAGUAGCGAAGAAAGAAUUUUUUCUUUAGCAUCAUACCGCUUCAAAAGGCAAUCAGUAGUGAAACUCCCUACAGUAUAGGUUCCUCUGAUGAAGGUAGUAUCCACGCCAUGAAAAUCAGAAAGGUAGUCGUUUUUCCUUUUCUCUAUCUUAUUCUUAUUGCCCUUCACAGACCAGCUACGAUUUGUGUUGUCAGAAUGAAAAUACCGUGAGUAGAGUUGGUAAUCAGGUUUGUUCAACCUGGAUUCAAAAUGUUUGUAGUGAGAAAUGAGAUUGUAUUUUUUUUCACUAACGUAAUAUAAUAUUUGAAUAUGAACAUAUCGGUCUACUUGAGAAAUAUGAGAAGAUAUCAUGCUACCAACUCAAAAUUUGACAACAAAAUAGAUAUGAAAAAAAUUGCAUCAUGCUUUUAGGCGAUUUUCUAGGUACACGACGGUAAUAUACUACUCCCGGAAUCGAAAGAAGUGAGAGUACACCAUAUAUUUCUUAGAAACAAGUAACAAAUGCGUACAUGAGUGACACUUGAACUGUCGUGCAUUUACAAGGACGGUGUGAGAAAAGCCUUACCCAAUGAGAUCGGUCACGGGUGGGUUGGUCAACGAAGAAACACGAUAAUCAUCUUCCAAUUCCUCAUUUGUGCCGGUGAGCAUAUGUCUCUGUCUCUUGUAAGGAAGUUUCAUAUCAUGAUCAACACGUCGCUUCAACUCUGCAAUAUUGGCAUCAGGUUGCACCUCAACACGAUAAUCAUUGCCACACCAUUUCACUAGAACAGUAGUUAUCUCGGCCGGCACCUUCUCUCCCGGCAUAUCAGAGGAUGAGGCCAUGUCUGGAAGUUAGAAUAUAGAAUUAUUAGUGGCAUUUAUUACAUAUAAAAGAUCAUGUUGAGAGGCGUGUGUUUAACGCCGAUUUGCAUGCCAAUAUGAAGAUAAAUAAAUAUGGAGAGGUGUGUCUUUAAUGCUGAAUCGCAUGCCAACAAAGAGAAAUGAAGUAGGGCUACACACACAUUAAUUCAAGCAUUAAUUAGAUAAGCUGAAGCAACAACAAGUUUUCACCUGUCCCUUCCCAUUAAAUAAGCUGAUGCCAUGUGUGGACGUUAGAACAUACUAGUAGUAGCAUUAGUGGUACUAGUAUUUAAAUAAGCAGAAGUAACAACAAGUAUUGAUUGACGAGACUUGUUGUGUGGAACAAAGCAAAUAACAGAGAAACUGUUGAACUGCGAAGCACUGAAAAACAUUGUGUGCGUGCGUUCUAGGCCUCUAGCAAGUAAGUGAAGGCACAAAACGAGGCUAGGCUAAGUCCUUCAACUUGUUAAUUAGGAGCAAUAAAGAUGUAGAAAUAAUUCCCCACAUACACACACGACAGAUGUAGAAAUAAGAAGAGUAUCCUGACCGGUGGGUGCCUGCCAAGUGCCAACAAGUCGACCAUUCAGCGGUUGUCUAAUUUGUAUAACAUGAUCAAAUAGUGGUAAAAUGGCAAGGCCUCUUUUAGGACAAACUUAAAGCAAGAAAGAGAUGCUGGCCGAGCCAAGCUCGUGCCCGACAGAGAAAAACAAAUUCAUUUUUCCACUAGAAUUCACAAAAUUGCCAGACAUGUUGUCUUUUGCGAUUUUGUAGCAAGAUUGGCUCCAGAAUCCACAAAUCGCAAGCCCCAAAUCACAUGUGCUCCCUAUAAAUUUGCAAGCCGAACAUCGAAUAUGACCGCACCAACCUCCAGGUAGGAUUAUUAUACCUGACAUUUGCCGAAAGUCGCUGGCCUAGCAGCCGUCGUCCUCACCGGUCACGAAGCCCCGUCACCUAGCUAGGGUUACAAACAAGGUGAAGCGCAUGCGAAACAGAGCAAGUGUGGAGGAGGAGCAAGGAACACGAUGCGCUAGGCCUACCUCUAUGCUCCAGCGACAGGCCCCGCCGCCGCCGCCUCCGCCUCCGCCUCCUCCGCCGCCGCCGACGAAGAACUCGGGAACCGGUCUGUUCCCGAUAGGCUGCGUGUGCUGCUACAAAUCAGUCAGGGGUGAUGAUCGGCGCGUGCGGAUCAGGUGGGAGUGUCGGGUAGCUUACCCGGAGGCGAUAGGAACCAAUGCAGCUUCCGCCGGUCGCUCGGCCGCCGCCGCCACCGAGUUUUCGGGAGCGCUCUUCGCACCGUGGUCCGUACGGUGGAGGAGACUGGAGAGUUAGGCUGUGUGUUGGUCUUGGCGUCGUGGGAGCCCAGCCCGGCCCACCCUGUCGGGCUCCAUCCACAUGGACACGGUGCAUCGCGCGUCUUUCGUCUGUUCCUUCGCUGGGUUUUUUCAUUUCGAUUCUACUGUUGUGGGAUUGUGUUUUAGUUUUUUUAUUAGCUUUCACUUUGGUUUUUCUUUUCUUUCUAGUUUCAUUUUUUUUAUUUUAUUCCCUUCUAGUUUUUAUUUUUUGGAAUUUUCUUUUUUUUGGUUUGGUUUUCCUUUUGAUUUUCCCUCAUUUAUGUUUUUAUUAUACUAUAAACAUUUCUUCAAUAUAGUAUAAUAUGAAGAUUUUUAUGCACAGUGAACCUUUUUUAAUGUAUGAUGGCCUUUUUAUUUUAAUAUGUACACAAUGAUUAUUUUUUAAAUACAAACCGAACUUUUUAAAAAAAUUGGACAGACUACUCUUUUAAUAUGCGCUGAAUUGUUUUUCAACGUAUAAAAUGAUUUUUUUAAUGUAGUGUAUAUUAAAAAUAUCUUCACUAUAUGUCGCCUCAGUAGGGUGUCCUAGAUAGGCAACUUGGCUGAAUGGUAACAGAAAGCAAGGAUUUACCCUACGGGCUCUCACUAUGGAGAUAAAAACUCUACUCUUGCUCUCCCAUAUUGCGUUGGGUGUGUACAAAGUAUAGGAGAAUACCAAGCGAUUGUGAUUGCAUUCUACAAGUCGGCCCGGCUUAUAUAGCAUACCAGGGUUCUAGGAUUACAGAUCCUAGUCGGUUACGUCGGUGAAGGCAGAGUCCUCCACGGCUCAUGUAUCUUCGACUUGUAUGUCUUCCGGAGUUUCCGUAUAACCCGCCAUGGGCCGCAAAAAGCGGUCAAGACGAAACCGACCUAGGGGUUCUCCGCCCGGCCCACCGGGCCGAAAACCGUCGUGAUGAGAGUCCACUGGGUUGGGACAUCGUAGUAGCCAUUGAAUUAGUCUUCAAGCUUGGUUGCACAUUAGUCGCUCCAACCUGCACAUCUUCUUAGGUCGCUGGACUUGAAAUAGGUUCCUCCAUAAUGUCUCGGUGUAGUCGGCCUCCAGUUGUCGGACUACAUCUGUGGUUACGUAAACCACUUCGGGCUUGAAAAUAACAAAAGAGAUAGCCACCCUAUACGAGAGCAACUAGUUAACGAGCGCUCCUUUGGGAGCCUCGCAACGAUCAGCCACUUGACGCACUCUCAGCCAUUCGUCAGGUGUCGCGCUCUGGGCGCUCCCUCCGGAUUUUUUUUUAUUUUUUCGCACGCGUUUUCGGCUUUUAAAAAGGUUUUUUUUUGUUUUUUUGACGUUAUGGUUUUUCACCUGUCUUCCCUAGCUUUUCGACAAAAAAAAGUUAAAAAAAUUGCGCGAAAAAGGGCGUUUUUUCCUUUCACGAGAGUCACGGCCGUGCCUCUCGAAAACGGAAAAAAACGCGUUUCCUGUUUUUUUUUCUUUCGCAAGAGUCACGGUUUUGCUUCCGGUUGUGCUUUAGCAAGAGUCAUGGACGUGCCUCUCGGAAACGAAAAAAACGCGUUUUUCUUUUUCCAUUUUCUUUCGCGAGAGUCACGGUUUUGCUUCCGCGAGAGGCACGGUUGUGCUUUCGCGAGAGUCACAGCCGUGCCUCUCGGAAACGGAAAAAGACGCGUUUUGUAUUUUUUUCUUUUCGCGAGAGUGACGGUUUUGCUUCUGCGAGAGGCACGGUUGUGCUUUCGCGAGAGUCACGGCCGUGCUUCCUCGGAAAUAAAAAAACGCGUUUUCUCUUUUUUUUCCGCGAGAGGCACGGUUGUGAUUUCGUAAGAGGCACAGGCGUUCUUCUUUCGGAAAGGGGAAAACCCGUGCUCCUAGUUCGGUUUUUCGUCCGAUUUUUUUCGUGAAAAAAAAGUUCGUCAAAACCUAUCAACAUGGGAUCUAGUUUUGAAGAUCUCGAUGUGAUGAAUCCAACGGUAAAGCGGUUCGAGAUUUGGACGCACGGUUUGAGAGAUAAAAUAUUUUAAAUAAACGGAUCUACAAAAAAGAAAAAACUCCCAGGUUCCGACAAGUGGCGCUACAUAUGCGUCAUUUGUCGCAACCAGGGGAGUUGGAAUGGUCUUUGCAACAAGUAAUCCUCAAUUAGUGAUUUCGACCCUACACAACAUAAAUGUCUCUCACACAGACGACUCUUCGUGGGCUGAAUUCUCGCGUUAUGUAUUCAAAAGUUGCCCCUGAGAGCCUAGCCCGCCACUGCUGAGAUUUUUCCUCCCGCCAUUGCUAGGAAUUCCUGCAGUAGUGUCGGUUCCCGUGUGUAAUUAACGCAAUCGUUAGGAUGCAAGGGAAUUUGCUACCACGCGGUUGGAUUAACCUUCCGUCUCUUCCUAUUUGCGAGGUGAGAGAGAGAGAGCGCGCUUUACGCACUAUAGUCGAGCCAAGGAUUGAGCCACGUCUCCGCCGCUGCCCCUUCACCAAGCUCCUGGUGGUGAAUCCUAGCUCUAGCAGCCCCUUCACCAAGCUCCUGGUGGUCUACUGGUCCUCCUCAACUCCUCUCCCGAGCAAAUCGAUGUCGGGAAGCUCAUUUUCGUCAAAGCCCAAUGCUCGUCGGCGGCGGAGAGGAAGGUUCUGACGUCGUUCGACCACCUCCUGGUGCACCACGGAUACUUGUGGAUUCGCCAUCGAGCUCCUGUCCCAUCCCCAUCAUCUCCCUGCCCCGCCGUGACCUUGACGCCAGUGAACGAUCGCCGGUAAGCAUCAUCGCGCCUGUCUCCCUCUCUCUCUUUAAAACUGACAGGGUGACCCAACCUGUCAGCCACACAUCCCACACCGAAGCGUUUUCUAAGUGGAGGCAUAAUUCCAAAUUGCGUCGUCUUUUUUUUUGCGGGGAAAAGAAUAUCUCAUAACUCAAGGAGGCUUCUCAGCCAUAGCCAAGUUUACAACAGAGUCCAACCCAGCAGAAAGCCACACCGCAAUACGAGGGGUGCAACGACCGUAAGCGGCCAACUCAUGACUAAUAUUAUUCUGUGAGCGGCUACAGCGAGCAAAUAAAAUCUCUCUAUCAUCGGUAUCAGCUAAUAUUCGGAUCUCCUCUAUGAGAAUGUGGUGCCUCGAUCUAUCUCUCGUGCGUGUUGUGAGCAACGUCACCGCCUCCGCACUGUCUAGCUCAACUAUAAUUGGAAGGUUCGUCCGGUGCAAGGCCAACUCCAGUCCUUCUCGACACGCUGCUAGCUCCGCCUCCAAGGCACUCUCACAUGCACGGAAUUCUCUACAUGCACUAUAGAUAAUCUCACCUCUAUCAUCUCGGAGAAUCAUACCUCCUCCAGCCGCACCCGUAGAAGUAAUAAAGCUGCCAUCCGUGUUUAGCUUGGUCCAGCCCGUGUCAGGGGGGACCCAUCUCGGCUGCAUCUUGGGGCCAGAGAUGACCCGAGCUGCUGGUGGUGAAGCAACGACCACCAUCUUCCCUUUCACAUGGUCUCCCGAAGGGUGUUGAUUAAUACACAGGAGCGAAGUAAUAUACUCGUGGAGGAAGCGUCGGGAGGCUUCAGUCGGAGGAGGCAUUUUGUCAUGUGUAAUCUCGUUGUGCACAUGCCAACUCCGCCACAUGGUCAUAAGCACCACCAUCCUUGUCGUGUCAUCUAGGGGUUCCAACAGUGUGAAGAGCCACUCCGGUCCGAGGUUACUGAUGGACUCCAGCUUGGGGAUGUUCCAGUCCACCGCCAUGGCACACCAUAGCUCGCUAGCUAGUGGGCACCUGCAGAAUGCGUGGAAUCCGUCCUCUCGUUCCAUGCCACAGAGGGGACAUAAGACAGUAAGCUCGAGGUGGCGAGAAAAUUUGUUGGCCCAUGUAGCAAGUGAAUUAGUCACAACUCUCCAUGCGAAGACGCGUACCUUAGGGGGAGCAGGGCACCCCCAUAUGAUCUUCCAGAUGGCGCGACGACCAUCUGGUGCCCUGCUCGUGGCGGUAGCCAAUGGACGCUCGCGCUCGUCCAUGGCAAGGCGGUAUGCGGAGCGAACGGUGAAGAUGUCGUUCUUCUCUGGUGCCCAGGCGAUGAUAUCGUCCGUGACGCGUGGUGAUGUCCGGAUGCUAGUAAUCGCAUCAACGUCCACCGGGAGGAAGUAGCGCCGAAGGAGACCCAUCCGCCAGGAGCCCCUCUCAUCUAGGAGCUCCGCCACCCUUCUGAUGCGGCAGUACCCUGUUGUGUGAUGGGUUGGCAGGAUGGCUCUCGCGGGAUCCACCGGUCGCGCCAUAUGCGGAUGUUUUGCCCGUCGCCGACACGCCAGAUGAUGCCUUUUUUAGGAGCUCGAGGCCGUAUUGGACAGCCUGCCAAGUCGGCGAGGCGUUCCCCGUGAAGACCGUAUCCUCAAGUCGUCCGUCAGGAUAAUAACGGGCCUUGAGCACCUGCGCACAUAAACUGUUAGGCUUAGUUAGCAAGCGCCAAGCCUGUCUCGCGAGGAGGGCCUGGUUGAAGAUGCGGAAGUCUAUGAAUCCCAGGCCACCCUUUGAUUUAUGAGCCUGUAUUUUUGGCCAUGCUAACCAGUGUGUUUUCCUUUUACCAUCCACCGAGCCCCACCAGAAGUUACGUACCAUUCUGUUCAGGUCAUCACACACUGACAUCGGAAGCUUGAAGACACCCAUAAUAUAGGUAGGGAUAGCCUGAGCAACCGCCUUAAUCAUGAUCUCCUUACCGGCCAGAGAGAGGGUAUCACCCCAAGCUAUAAUUCUCUUCAAGAGCCGUGAUUGCAAAUUCUGAAAUUUACCUCGCGUCAUGCGACCCUCGGGCGUUGGCAGCCCUAGUACUUCUCCUCAAAGGUUAUUGUACCAAUGCAAAGAAUUGAUCUAACCGCAUCCUGUUUAUCCAUAGUGCAUGCAUUACCAAAAAGGGCACUACACUUCGCCGGAUUGAUGCAUUGUCCCGUGGCAUUUUCAUAUGUAUUCAACACGUUCUGGACUUUCCUCGCUUGUUCCUCCUCCGCCUUAAAGAACAACAGCGUAUCGUCCGCGAACAAUAAAUGCGAAACACCUGGAGCUCGACGGCAUAUUUUCAGCGGUGUAAAAUCACAUUUUUUCUCGCCAUCUUUCAACAGAGCAGAAAGACCAUCAGCCACAAAUAAGAACAAGAACGGGGACAGUGGAUCACCUUGCCGAAGUCCACACGACGGUGCAAACGAGUCCAAGAGGGUUCCGUUAAAUUUCACUGUAUACCUCACCGAGGUGACGCAAGCCAUAAUCCAGUUCACCCAUCGGCGAGCGAAGCCCAACUUUUGCAUCAUUCGCUCCAAGAAGAUCCAGUCCACUCUGUCAUAAGCUUUAGAUAAGUCAAGCUUGUACGCACAAAAACUUUUGUUAGGUCUUUCUCCUGCUGAAUAAAAUGAAUGCACUCAAAAGCAAUUAAUGCAUUGUCUGUAAUUAACCGUCCAGGCACAAAGGCACUCUGUUCUGGAGAUAUAAUCUCAUCCAAAAUUGGCCUCAAUCGAUUCACCAAGCACUUUGCCACCACCUUAUAAAUGACAUUGCAUAAACUUAUGGGCCGGAACUCCGUGAGCCUCUCCGGGUUAUCCACCUUCGGGAUGAGAACAAUGGAGGUGUUAUUCACUCCCUCAGGCAUGACCCCUGUGCGGAAGAACUCCUUCACUCCUGCAAUUACCUGCUCCCUCAUAACCGCCCAAUUCCUUUGGAAGAAACGGGCGGGGAAACCAUCCGGACCAGGCGCCUUGAGUGGCCCAAUCUGAAAUAGAGCAUCAGCUAUCUCCUGGUCUGAAAAAUCUGCACAUAGGCCAUCAUUCAUGCUGUCAGUCACACGAGGUCUAAUAAGAUUAAUCACUGGAUCCGCACAUAGAGUUGUAUCAGCAGUAAACAAACGAGAAAAAUAAGCCGUAGCCAUGGUCUCCAUGGACUGGUGGUCCUUGUGCACAACCCCAGUAUCAUCAAUGAGGGAUUUAAUGUGGUUCUUACCAGCACGCCAUACCGCUUUCCGGUGGAAAAACUGAGUAUUACGGUCACCCUCUUUCAGCCAAGCAAUACAGGAUCUCUGCAUCCACAUCAUCUCCUCUCUAUAAAGCAAUUUGUUCAUCCGGUCUGCCGCCUCCCGAAUUUCCUUCCUAUCUGCAUUCAUAGACAUAAGCUCCUCGAGGCGAGAGCGAGAUUUAUUAAUUUCCUUAAUAACUUACCAAAUUUUUUCCGGCUCCACUCUUGCAAUUUGUGCAUCAAGGUACUCAAACCUGAGGUAAUAUCCCCAAGAUGGACCAUAGAACCCAGCUCAGUCCAUGCAUUCAUAAUUACCUCCGGGAGGGAUGGUUCCCUCUCCCACAUGACCUCGUACUGCCUGCAUCUCCUCCCCUGCAUUGGACGCGGCUCCUCCCGCUCGCAACGGAGCAAUAUAGCCAGGUGAUCGAAACUGGGCAACACCAGGUGAUCUACCUUAGCGUGAGCAAAGAUGUCACGCCAGGCAUUGUUGGCGACUGCCCGGUCAAGGCGCACCUUAACAUUCGCCCGACCUCCACGAUGGUUAUCAAAGGUGUACGGGAGGCCUGCAAAACCAAGAUCGCCCAGGCCCCAUACUUCAAGAACAUCACGAAAAUCAAUCAUCUGACCUGUCGAACGUGGUGUGUCGGAGAAGUGCUCGAAGCUCCACAUCGCCUCAUUGAAAUCUCCCACCACGACCCAUGGCAUGUCGUCCUGUUGGUGAAGAUUCCGGAGGAGAGACCACAUGCGAUGACGGUCCUCCGUCCGAGGCUCGCCGUAGACGCAGGUAAGCCUCCAUGGUGGUUCACCCGCCACAACAUCCACAUACGCAUCAAUAUAUCAUUCAUUAAUUUCUUUUACAUCAAGACUCAGGGACUCAUGCCAAUACAAAGCGAGACCACCACUGCGACCCGCACAAUCAAAAGCAUCAAAACCUCUCAAACCUAACCGAUUACGGUACCUCUGCAUUUUAUUCUUAGUCUGCCUAGUUUCACAAAGAAAGACGAUACUAGGGAAUGAGCCUGCACUAGACUCACAAGAUCUCGAACUGUCCGAGGGUUCCCACCCCCUCGGCAGUUCCAACGUAGGAUAUUCAUUGCUCCUGACGGGGCUUCGCCGGCCCCGUCAGUUCGUCGGCGGCCCCCGGGCCGACUGCCUCCAAAGUGCUGGACACCUCGUGCAUGUCCUGGUCUCCCGAUCCACCGCCAUGCUGGGUUUGCUGCCCGUCCAGCGACCCUGUACCCGCUGUUUUCAUCUGGUUCCACAGAGUCAGCGUCUGCAGUCGCGGGUUGCUGCGGCUAGCAGCCACGGAUCCUCCAUUGGAAGGCUUCGGGCAAGCAGCAUCCACAGAGGGAGCCCUGUAUGUGCCCCCACCGACCUCCAGGUUCACCUCGGCCACUGCCGUCUCUUUGUCUGCCUCGUGCGUAGACGACACCAUCCCUGUCAACAACGUUGGAGCAGCACCGAGAGCGAUGCGAUCCGGCGGCUUCCAUGGUCGUGUGUACACUCCAGCCGUAGCCCUAGGUGGCUUUUUGUAAGCAGGAUUCCCCGUUUCCUGGCCGGAGGGGAUAGGGCACCCAGAUCCAUCCUUGAGCAAUCCAUCUGGACUCCUUCCAGCGGUCUCCAUAUCGGAUACGGCAGGAUCGCCGUAGCAACCCAUGGGGGCCGACGAUCGAACAGCGGACACAGCCGCAGCAGCUUCGGCGCCCUGCCUGGGCUUAGACGCGGAGACGGGGCCACACACGGCCGGAUUGACGUCCGGCGGUGGCGGCGGCGAGGCAGUCGCCUCCAGUUCGCCACGGGCGGAAAACCCUAGCGAGCACUUUCUUCUUUCUUUCCAAAUUGCGUCUUCGACGUGGAAGCCUGAGGAAAAUCCUAUUUAUUUGUUUAAUUCAUUUUAAUUCCAGUUUGACCCCAACUUUGACCAGCCUUAUCUCCUAAAUUGAGUUCCAAUUGAGCUCAUUUUUUUUGCACUAAUUUUAUCUUAAGCUCCUUUAUUUAUUGGCAGAGUUGACAUUUUUGUGAUCUGUCUAGAAUUUUUUUUGAUAGAAUGAAAUGCUUUAUGUGUUAUUUACAAUUGCUUUUAAAAAUAUUUUUUCAGAGGAAUUAAAUAAGUGUUGAAGGCAGGAGCAUUUUCCACACUCCCUUGGAGCAAGGCAAGCCACACCCUCCACUUACAUGAUUGCAAUGCAAUGUCAUGGUUUAAAUAAUAAAACAUGGUUUACUUUGAAUUAGUUGGAAAUAGUUUAUUCAUAGCUUCUUUGGUGAUAAUGUUUGGAUAUGCUAUUUCCAUGCCUACUUUGCAUUAGUAGGAUCAACAGCUAUAUGUUCACUAUAUUCAUGAAACAACAUGACCAUGCUUGAUAUUUUACUUAUGGAGUAAGUAGAAAUGACAUGGAUAGAUUAUUCAUUGGAUUGUUAGUUGGAUAUUGCUAUGACUUGGAUCUUAGGUUGAUAAAUGAUAUUAGAGGAAUUUUUAUGACAAAUAUAAUCUCGGGGAUAUAAUUUCUCCACUCGUUGAUCAAGUCAUAGUGCCACUGAACCGAACUUUUCAGUGCAGCCACAUUUGUCUUUUAUGGAAAGGCCCUGAUUCGGUCUAUCGUUGUGCCUUUUAUCAGUAUCAUCGAAGAGGGGAGGUUACGCGUUCGUGCUACCAUGAUCAGGUAGGCGGCGAUAAUCUUGUGAUCCCGAGUUGUAUGGCCAUGGGUCCCCAUUUGGGACAGUUAUUGGGUCGCCGUUUGGGACAGUCUUAUUUAGCCACUAGGUGGCAGGUGUCACGGGGGACACCAGGACAUGGCUUGAGGGGUAUGUCAGCGAUAUGGUAGAAGUUCUACAAGGUAGACGGGUUUUGUUGAAGCAGCACCGGUCCACUCGUAGGGGAAUUGUACCGAGGUACGGGGCCAUGAGCUUCAUAGUGUGGGUAAAGUGCGCAACCUCUGCGGAGUGUUUGAAUCUAUUUGAAUAGCCGAGUCCAUGGUAUUGGAUACAAUUCAUACUAGGUCACACUAUUGAUCAAUACCGGUGAGGAAAUGACUUAUCUUUAUGGUUGAGUAAGCAACAGUUUGGCAGGAUGCCGGUGAUGAUCACUUGAUGAUUAUGAGGUGAUCACGAGGAUAAGUUGAUUGAUUGGAUAGUCAAGAGUAAGAUGGUCCAUGCGACCUUAAGCAACGAUUUAUCAUUAUAACUAGUUUAUCAACAUCAUGAUCAUUAUUUUCUUCCACACUAGUAAUAUUUGUUCAUAACUUAACUUGUUAAUGCUAUAUUAUUGUCUUGUCUUGAUGCUUCUGGUUGUUGUGAGCUUGCGAGUACAUUCAAAGUACUCACCCGACGUGUCAUGCCAAAUGCAGGUAAUGUCGUGAUUCCGUAUCUCGAGGAUCCCGAGUCUGCGAACUAGGAAUGUCCCGGCAGUGUCCCUUUGGAGUGUAGUCCAUCACCAUCGUCGUUGUACCGCUGCUACCAAUGGAGGCUAGCUUAUUCACAUACAAUAGGUGUAGUGCCACUUUGCCUCAAUAAACCUUGUACAUGAGAACCCUUGCACCCAUAGUAAUUGCAAUUAAGAGUUGUUCUGUUUUAUAUCAAGCAGUGGCGUG